rnacentral:rRNA from 1 species
UACGUAGGGCGCAAGCGUUGUCCGGAAUUAUUGGGCGUAAAGAGCUCGUAGGCGGCUUGUCACGUCGGAUGUGAAAGCCCGGGGCUUAACUCCGGGUCUGCAUUCGAUACGGGCUGGCUAGAGUGUGGUAGGGGAGAUCGGAAUUCCUGGUGUAGCGGUGAAAUGCGCAGAUAUCAGGAGGAACACCGGUGGCGAAGGCGGAUCUCUGGGCCAUUACUGACGCUGAGGAGCGAAAGCGUGGGGAGCGAGCAGG